UUAGGCGGACGGGUGAGUAACGCGUGAGUAACCUGCCCUGGAGUGGGGGGACGAACAGUUGGAAACGACUGCUAAUACCGCAUAAGCCCACGAUCCGGCAUCGGAUUGAGGGAAAAGGAUUUAUUCGCUUCAGGAUGGACUCGCGUCCAAUUAGCUGGUUGGUGAGGUAACGGCCCACCAAGGCGACGAUUGGUAGCCGGACUGAGAGGUUGAACGGCCACAUUGGGACUGAGACACGGCCCAG
rnacentral:rRNA from 1 species